CAACCCUUAAGCCCCUGUUGCUUAGCGUUAGGAGCCUACCGGAACUCUCUGGUAGCUCCCCAAAGUCAGUGGCGGAGCCGGUUCGCACUCCAGACGUAGUAGCUUUUACAUGUCGCCUGUAGCGUGAGCCGGUCCCCUGCCGUAAAACACCCCAAUUUUUAUA
rnacentral:misc_RNA from 1 species